UACAGAGGCCCCAAGCGUUACUGAGAAUCACUGGGUUUAAAGGGUGCGUAGGUGGUCCGUUAAGUUCGUUGUGAAAUCCCUGGGCUCAACCCAGGAAAUGCUUCGAAUACUGGCGGACUUGAGGCUAGUAGGGGUCACUGGAACUGACGGUGGAGCGGUGAAAUGCGUAGAUAUCGGAAGGAACGCCGGUGGCGAAAGCGACGCGCUGGGCCCUUUCUGACGCUGAGGCGCGAAAGCCAGGGGAGCAAACGGG
rnacentral:rRNA from 1 species